rnacentral:hammerhead_ribozyme from 1 species
AUCGAGCUGACGAGUCAUGAAUAGGACGAAACGCGCGUCCUGGAU